CGCCGCCUCAACCUUGCGUCAGGUUCCGGCCGCCUCUGGCCUGGGCCUGGAUCUUGUAGUCCGAACAUGUCUGCCCCCAUAGGACGUCGCCAUCUUUGAGACUCGGUCAGGGACCAGGACGGCGCCAUGUUGGACCCACAAAUCGAUUCCUCAGCCGCCUCCUGUCUUCCCUGAAUAACGAAUACCGGGAGAGAGAGGAUGAGGUAAGCUUGCCUCUGCCAUAGUGUCUGUCUCCAAGAGGACUGAUCAGGCAAGCAAGUAGUCCUACCAUGUACGCUAAGCAAUUCAGGAUCUACAGAGCUUGUCCUAAGAAUGGAUUUGCCCAGGGAGAAAUCUCUGUCGUGAGAGACAACUAAAUCCCAUUGUGGUGGAGUCUAUUCGGACUUAUCGCGGCCCUAAAGGACACAGCAGGACUGCCCUAUAGGGUUUCCAAGGCAGUAAUCUUUAUGGAACCUGAUUGCCACAUUUUUCUCCCAAGGAGCAGCUGGGAGGUUCAAACCAGGUCUUCCAACUGGUUCCUUCUGGUUCAGACCCCUGCUGAGAAUUUGCAGGUCCACCCCAGAUAUCUAGAAUCAGAAUCUACUGUCUAACACAAUCUCCAGGUGAUUUUUAUGUAUAAUAAAAUUCGAGAACCUGCACUACUGGUGGUUCUCAGCAUUGGUCCCUAAACAGCAUCAUUAGGAUGGCCUAGGAACGUGUUACAAAUUCCAAUUCUCAACAGGGGUUUGAACCAGAACAAACCAGUUCGAAUCCCUGGUUCGAAUCGCCAACUUUUCAGUUAGCAGAUCUUUGAGUUAGCAGCCCAGUGCUUAACCACUGUGCCACCCAGGGCUCCUUAGUGAGAAACACCCACCCACUGCCGUGGAGUAGAUUCCAACUCAUAGUGACCCCAUAGGGCUUCCAAGACUGUAAAUCACUGCGUAAGCAGGCAGCCACAUCUUUCUCCCACAGAGUUGCUGGUGGUUUCGAACCACCAACCUAUUGGUUAGCAGUUGAAUGCUUUAACCGCUGUGCCACCAGGGCACCUUUUUGUGAGAGACAAGGCAAAACCCGUUGCUGUCCAGUCGAUUCCAACUCGUAGCGACCCUAUAGGAUAGAGUAGGACUGGCCCAUAGGGCUUCCAAGGAGCAGCUGGUGGAUUCAAACUGCGACCUUUUGGUUAGCAACCAAGCUCUUGCAGCGGUUAUUUUAUAAACUAAUAGAGGAGUGGAGAAGGUCUGUAUUUACUGUGCACCGUACUAGACUGUUGGGUAGACUCCAAGAGUCAUUAUUUUAAUCUUACAGGAAGGCUGUUAUUACCACCAUUUUGCAAAUAGAGAACUGAGAAGAAUUGAAGAACUUAGAAAGUCACUUUACCUAGCCCACACAGCAAGUGGCACAGCCAGGAUUGUGAGCCACGGUCUCAUGACAAUGUGUGUGAUCUUCCUAAUGGACUGCAAAUAACUGCACCCAUUAUGUAGCUGGAUGAUAGAAACAUGAAGAUGAGUUAGACAUUUCCAAAACACAGAGGAGAUAGCCCAAGAAAAUUGAAAAAGAACUCAAGUUUCUCUGAAUUUAGUGUUAAAAGUGAGGCAAAGAUGGACCCUGCAGAACUCUUAGAAUGCACCCCACCCUUCCAAGCCCCAACCUCAUACAAACACAAUUAAGAGCCACUUAGAACUUUAUCUUCAACAACAUACUCUUGUCAUAGUCUUUACUAUCUCGGCUCAUGCAAAUGCCAUUCUUUCCUGUUACUCAAUCUGAAAACCUUGGAAUCAUUCUUGACUCCUGUUGUGAGUUGAAUGGUCUCGUCUCUAACUAUUUAGAGAUUUCUCCCUGGGCGAGCCCCAAAAAGAUAUGUUCACAUCCUGUAACCUGUGAAUGUGACUUUAUUUGGAUAAAGAGACUUUGUAGAUGUAAUUAAGGAUCUCAAAAUGAGAUUACCCUGAGUUAUCCAAGUAGGUCCUAAAUCCAAUUACAAGUGUCCUUAUGAGAGACACAGAGUCAAAACACAAAAAUCAGUGAGGUUUCUAUACAGCAACAAUGAGCAAGCUGAAAAGGAAAUUAAGGAAACAUUACCAUUUACAAUAAGAAUAAGUACCUAGGAAUAAACUUAACCUGAAAGGUGAAAGACUUCUAUGCAAAAAAUUAUAAAACAUUGCUAAAAUAAAUUAAAGAAGACCUAAAUAAAUAAAAAGACAUUCCAUGUUCAUGGAUUAAAACAAAACAAAAAAACAAACCCAUCACCACGAGUUGAUUCUAACUCAUAGUAACCCUAUAAGACAGAGUAGACCUUCCCCAUAAGAUUUCCAAGAAGUGGCUGGUGAAUUCGAACUACCAACCUUUUCGGUUAUCAGCCAAAGCUCUUGACCACUGCACCACCAGAAGGUUUAAUAUAGUUAAGACGUCAGUAUUACCCAAAGCAAUCUAUAAAUUCAAUGCAAUCCUCAUCAAAAUUCCAACAGCCUUCUUUGCAGAAAUGGAAAGCCAGUUCUCAAAUUUAUAUGGAAGGGCAGAGGAUCUCAAACAGCUAAAGCAACCUUGAAGAAGAAUAAAAUAUGAGGACUUACACUUUCUGAUUUCAAAACAUACUUGCAGUGGGAUGGAUCAUUUUAUAUGGCCUGUCUCAUUAUGGUCUCAGGAAACCCUGGUAGUGUAGUGGUUAAGUGCCACAGCUGCUAACCAAGAGGUUGGCAGUUUGAAUCCUCCAGGCACUCCUUGGAAACUCUAUCAGGCAGUUCUACUCUGUCCUAUAGGGUCGCUAUGAGUCAGAAUUGACUUGACCGCAGUGGGUUUUUGGUUUUUCACUAUGGUCUGAUAAUUUACUUGGUAAGUUAUGCAAAUAAGGACAUUGUGGCCCACCAUAGGGGACUGGUCAGUUUUGCCAUCCUGCUAGGCUAAAAACGAGCCAUCCCAGAGGUGGGAGGAGAGGAUCUAACCACCAACAGGAAAGAAGAGCCAGGAGUGGUGAGCAUCCUUUGGACCCAGAAUCCCUACACUGAGAAGCUCCUGAAACCAGGAGACUGAGAAAGACACGGCUACAACACGGACGAUGGUGAGAAGCGGUGUCAGAGGAACGGCAGCAGGAAAGAGCAGCAGGAGAUGGCACAGUGGGCCUCCUGGCCCAUGGAGCAAAAAAGCUGCGCACCUUCAGGCUGAGGCUUACUGGCGGAGUGGGGUGCCUUGGAGCACUUAUCAGCAGAGCUAAAAGAGUUUUGUUUAGCACUUGCCUUAGCAGAGGCUGAGGGGCCAGAGAGAAAGAAGCGUGCCUGCGGGCAUGGCUGAGAAGAGGCUGUCCUGAUGGGAGAACUGCAUUCUGAGCAUUCCUGAACCUGAGUUGUAACCUGUUACUUCCCUAUAAGCCCCAUAACUGAUAGAGCUACAGGGACGGAAGAGGGAGCAGUAAGGAAACCCAAGCAGAAAGACCAGGGCCUGUGAUGAGGGAAAGAGAGAGACAUUGCCUCCAAGACAGAAGUCAUCCAGGGGAAACUGAAGGUCUGAAACUCCAGGAUAAUCCAGGAAUAUCUUUGAGGUAUGCUUGUCACUUGGUGGAAAAAAUCAAAUUGGACAACUUAUUUGGGAGUUGGUGGAACUCCCUCGCUUUGUUAAUGACUGUGUGAAAAUUUAACACUACCCAUUCUAGCAUUGUUUAUGGGGAGUCAGGAGAUUAGGUUUCCAGCCUCAUCUCUGCUCUUAAAAUAACUGCAUGACUCUGGGCAAGCUACCCUCUCUGAAUCUGUAUUUCAUACCUAGAAAAUAAAGGAGUAGGCUGGGAGCCCUAACCCUUUUUUUUGUCUCUGAAAAUCUGGGAUUUUAUUCAAUAGCCUGAGGUAGUGAAAAGGGCUCUGGUUUGGAGUCAUUCCAGAUUUCCAAAGCUGCCUGACAAUUACUGGCUUUGAUAAUUGAAUUUAUGCAUCUAUAAAACAGCAGUUAAUAGUAUUUAUAAUUAAAAGCUCAUUUAUUCGCUCAAAAAAUAUUUAUUGACUACCAAUGUGCCAGUCAUUGUACUACAAGCUGGAAUCCUGAGAUGAACCAUUUAGACAGUGAACCUGCCCUCCUGUAGCUUACCUCUUGCAUUAGUACCCUAUUUCUGCUGUAAUAAAUUACCAUAAACUUAGUGGCUUAAAACAACACAAAUUUAUUAUCUUUGCAGUUGUCCAGAAGUCUGAAAUGGGUGUCACUGGGAUAAAAUCAAGGGUCGGCAGGGCUGUGUUCAUUCUGGAGGCUCUAGGGAAGAAUUCAUUUUCUUGUCUUUUCCAGCUUCUAGAAGCUGUUGAUAUGCCUUGGCUCAUGGCCCACUUCCAUCUUCAAAUCCAGCAAUGGCCAGUCAAGACUUUCUCAGGAUGAUUUCUGGGUCUGAGUUGCUAUCUUUUUCUUACACAUUUAAAGGACUCUGUGAUUACACUGAACCCACCCAGAUAAUCCAGGAUAAUCUCUUUAUCUCAAGGUCAACUGAUUAGCAACUUUAAA